rnacentral:rRNA from 1 species
AUUGAACGCUGGCGGUAGGCCUAACACAUGCAAGUCGAACGGCAGCACAGGAGAGCUUGCUCUCUGGGUGGCGAGUGGCGGACGGGUGAGGAAUACAUCGGAAUCUACUUUUUCGUGGGGGAUAACGUAGGGAAACUUACACUAAUACCGCAUACGACCUACGGGUGAAAGCAGGGGACCUUCGGGCCUUGCGCGAUUGAAUGAGCCGAUGUCGGAUCAGCUAGUUGGCGGGGUAAAGGCCCACCAAGGCGACGAUCCGUAGCUGGUCUGAGAGGAUGAUCAGCCACACUGGAACUGAGACACGGUCCAGAAUCCUACGGGAGGCAGCAGUGGGGAAUAUUGGACAAUGGGCGCAAGCCUGAUCCAGCCAUACCGCGUGGGUGAAGAAGGCCUUCGGGUUGUAAAGCCCUUUUGUUGGGAAAGAAAUCCAGCUGGCUAAUACCCGGUUGGGAUGACGGUACCCAAAGAAUAAGCACCGGCUAACUUCGUGCCAGCCGCCGCCGUAAGAC